UCUUUAACUUGAAUUGAGGCAGCAAAUUUAUUAACCAUAACACAUUAUUCAAUUCAUAUAAACCCCAUCUCAAUCAACUAGAAGCCCUUUACAAUUGCACCUUACGGACAAUUAUUUCUAAGAAAAUUGUAUUGCAAUUUUCUUCUUGGUUUGGAAGAUUUGUGUGCAAAGGUGUUGGGAAGGCUCAUCUCCAGUUCAUCUUAUCACCUUUUCUUCAAAUAAUUAAGGUAAGAAUUCAAUAAUCCUUCUAAAUAAGUUUAUCUUAAACUUAGAGAAAUCCACUUUAAUUUCUUAUUGAUGUAGAAAUAAAGGUUCUUGUAGUGUAUUUGAGGAGGAUUUGGUUAUGUUGAAGGGCUGGAAAUAUAGUUAUAAAUAUGGAUAUGUGUUGUUAUCCUUGCCGUUCAAGGUAAUAUUAUACCCUUCUCCAUGUAUUUGAGGCCAUUUGGAUCAUAGUUUGGUUAUUAAUGAAGUGUUGUAGUUGUUGAACGAUUUUGAGUGGUUUCUUAAGGUAUCCUAUGGCUGAAAAUUGUGAAGUAUAGUUGUUUGUGAUGGUGGUUGUAUUGUGAGUAGAGGAGAAGAGCUAGUAGUGUUGAAUUACCAUUGUAGGAUGAGAUGAAGCUUAUGCACUCUAAGUGUUUGAUAAAAUGACUCAGUGAAUCCAAUUCUUGGUUUAUUGAUUCGAUUAUGAUCCAAAUAAUUUAUAUAAUGUAGAUUAUCAUUCGUAGAGCGUACGGGAACUCGUGAGCUAUCGCUAGCCAAGCAAUAAUGGUAUGUUAAGGUUAUCCCUUCUUUCCUUUUGGUAUGAUCCAUACGAUACAAACGAAAUAGACAAACAUACAAUUUUCAUAAAUGCCUCUAUUCAUAGAAGCACUAGGGGUACCUAUGUUGUUGAUUCCCCAUAUUUUUUCUUAUUAUAUCUUCUUUUCAUGGGUCCUAGAAAAAUACGUAGUUGAUAAAGUUUAUCCGAAGGUAUAUUGAUCUUAUGACAUUCUGAGAGAUCUUAUUGACUUACUUCAUUAUGCAUUGCAUUCAUUUAUACAUGUAUAUUGACCCAUGACCAGAUGGCGUUAUAUACAUGUAUAUUAUAUGUAUAUGGGAUAUGGGGAAAGGUUAUGGCAUUAUAUACGCACCUCCACCUGAUCAGUUGGUAUACGUUGAUGAUUUCGCCCACAGAGGCCGAGAUGAUAUGAUGGGAUGCCCUCAGAGGCUUGAUGAUGUUAUGUACGCAUAUACCUAUGCAUGAUAUGACAUUUAUACGCAUAUGCAUGACAUUAUAAAAGUUUCAUGAUUCACAAAGCUAUUCAGACUCACGGGUUGAGUCCUUUACUCCAUGUUUCUUUUAUGUCUUUUACAUACUAUUUUCCAUGCCUUACAUACUCGGUACAUUAUUUGUACUGACGCCCCUAUUGCUUGGGGCCUACAUUUCAUGCCCGCAGGUGCAGGUAGACAGGUUGACAGUCCCCCUUCUUAGG
rnacentral:lncRNA from 1 species